UGGCCUGGCUAUAGGGAAAAUAAAUAAUGAAUAACACCUUAUUUUUUUUUUACAGUUGGUAUCACCUUUGCCACAGACCAAAUGCAAGUGGGCUUUUUUGUGGGUACCAGGGGGUGAAGCUUGCGAGGCACAUCAAAAGGCAACAUUCCAAGGAAUCUGAAGUGGCCUGCCAGCUUGCAGGAACGAGUAAAAAGAACAAAGUAAAAGAACACGAAAGGCUCCGGCUCCUCGGUGAUUAUCACCACAAUUGCAAUGUCCUGAGCUUAGGCGAAGGACAACUGGUUGUGGUAUGCCUACCUCCCUUGUAAGUCGUGCCUUGGGUUUCACAAGGGGGACGACCUUUGGAGGCACAGAAAGAAGUGUGCGUUUAAACAGCAUGGGACAGACAAAGAAGCCAACCUAUAUACCAAAUCUGUAUACGGUGAAGUGAAUAAAUUGUAUUGUGAGCGUGACGAGGUCGGCUUCGUGGCCAAGCACGAUGAACUAAUAAUACAGAUGGGGAACUGCCUCUAUGAUCAGCAUGGCGAAAGGCAGGCUACUUAUAUGAGCACCAAAAUGCGGGAGAUAGCCAGAUUGGUGCUCGAGGUCAAAAUAAAUGAACCGAGCCAACAUGGCCUGACUGAACUCAUCACUUCCCGAAAUUUCGCCCUGGUAAAAGAGGGGGUGAAGCGGGUUGCCGGCUUUAGUGGUGUCCAGCAUAUCUUCACCAUCCCUAGCGCACUUCACUAGUGCACUUCACUAGUGCACUUCACUGAAGUGGGCAACUGGGCUCAGGCGCCAAGAUGAUGCAGCUAUCCUCCAUCUUAUGGAUAUAGAGUGGGCUCAAAAGAAUUAUCAAGCACUGGCCAAGUUUCUCAUAUCUAGUAAAAGACAAGUGUUAGUGGUAGUGCUCCCCCAACAUUACAGGAGGGUCUUUCCAUUUGAAGCUAUAGCAGCAGUCAGCUGUACUUUAGUAGUGCCCACUCUUUCAACAGUCUUCAUAAUAAAAUCUUGUAGGACAUGCUCACAAUGCCACAAAUACAAUUGUCUGCAAUAGAAAGCCUGUUUUACUUUUUUUUUUUAUGUAUGUCUCGUACUAUAUACCAGAUUUCUGUUACAUGAUAAUAGCAAACUCAAGUAUAGAAUAUGUGAAAAAUUUGUUUUGGUGAAGAUGAAAAACAACUGACACCCUUCAGUGCUUAUGUACAGUAGACAAUUACUUAUCUA